rnacentral:lncRNA from 1 species
GAAGCUGCUGAGCCCCGGGAUGGCUUUUUAUCCUCAUUAAAAGGGAAAAAAAACAAAAACAACCAAACGGGAUUAGGUUUCGAGUCGGUGCUGUCCCAUUAAUAAACCAAGUUGGUCCUCGGCAAGGCAAGCGAGACCUGAUUUAAAAAGGAAUGGAGAUAGAUGACCUAUUUUAAGCUCUCAAGUUGGAAAAUAUCGACCUGGCUGCCUCCAGCCCGCCAGCAGCGGGGCCGGCUGUGCCAGCGGGGACACGGUGUGAUCCCAAAACCUGCCUGGGUCCCCCAAAACCUGCCUGGGUCCCCAAAAAACCGGCAUGGGUCUCCUAAAACCUGCCUGGGUCUCCAAAAAACCGGCAUGGGUCCCCAAAACCUGCCUGGGUCCCCCAAAAAACCUGCCUGGGUCCCCCAAAAAACCUGCCUGGGUCUCCCAAAAAACCUGCCUGGGUCUCCAAAAAACCUGCCUGGGUCUCCUAAAACCUGCCUGGGUUUCCCAAAACUGGCAUGGAUCUCCCAAAAAACCUGCCUGGGUCUCCCAAAAAACCUGCCUGGGUCUCCCAAAACCUGCCUGGGUCUCCCAAAAAACCUGCCUGGGUCUCCCAAAAAACCUGCCUGGGUCUCCCAAAACCUGCCUGGGUCUCCCCAAAUCCAACUGGAUCUCCCAAAACUUGCCCAGCUUUCCAAAAAUCCACUCAGCUUUCCCCAGACCCACCCAGCUCUCCCGAAAUCCACUGGGCUCUCCCGAAAUCCACUUGGCUCUCCCGAAAUCCACUGGGCUCUCCCAAAAUCCACUCAUCUCUCCUCAAAACCCACCCAGCUCUCCCGAAAUCCACUGGGCUCUCCCGAAAUCCACUUGGCUCUUCCAAAACCCACCUGGCUUUCCCAAAACCCUCCUGGCUUUCCCAAAACCCNNNNNNNNNNNNNNNNNNNNNNNNNNNNNNNNNNNAAACCCACCCAGCUCUCCCAAAAUCCACUGGGCUCUCCCCAAACCCACCCAGCUCUCCCAAAAA